UACGGAGGGAGCUAGCGUUGUUCGGAAUUACUGGGCGUAAAGCGCACGUAGGCGGCUUUUUAAGUCAGGGGUGAAAUCCCGGGGCUCAACCCCCGGAACUGCCCUUGAAACUGGAGAGCUAGAAUCUUGGAGAGGCGAGUGGAAUUCCGAGUGUAGAGGUGAAAUUCGUAGAUAUUCGGAAGAACACCAGUGGCGAAGGCGACUCGCUGGACAAGUAUUGACGCUGAGGUGCGAAAGCGUGGGGAGCAAACAGG
rnacentral:rRNA from 1 species